GUCGAACGGUAACAGGAAGCAGCUUGCUGCUUUGCUGACGAGUGGCGGACGGGUGAGUAAUGUCUGGGAAACUGCCUGAUGGAGGGGGAUAACUACUGGAAACGGUAGCUAAUACCGCAUAACGUCGCAAGACCAAGGAGGGGGACCUUCGGGCCUCUUGCCAUCGGAUGUGCCCAGAUGGGAUUAGCUAGUAGGUGGGGUAAAGGCUCACCUAGGCGACGAUCCCUAGCUGGUCUGAGAGGAUGACCAGCCACACUGGAACUGAGACACGGUCCAGACUCCUACGGGAGGCAGCAGUGGGGAAUAUUGCACAAUGGGCGCAAGCCUGAUGCAGCCAUGCCGCGUGUAUGAAGAAGGCCUUCGGGUUGUAAAGUACUUUCAGCGGGGAGGAAGGGAGUAAAGUUAAUACCUUUGCUCAUUGACGUUACCCGCAGAAGAAGCACCGGCUAACUCCGUGCCAGCAGCCGCGGUAAUACGGAGGGUGCAAGCGUUAAUCGGAAUUACUGGGCGUAAAGCGCACGCAGGCGGUUUGUUAAGUCAGAUGUGAAAUCCCCGGGCUCAACCUGGGAACUGCAUCUGAUACUGGCAAGCUUGAGUCUCGUAGAGGGGGGUAGAAUUCCAGGUGUAGCGGUGAAAUGCGUAGAGAUCUGGAGGAAUACCGGUGGCGAA
rnacentral:rRNA from 1 species